UGAUCCAGAGAUCUCCGAAUGGGGAAACCCAGCAUGAGUUAUGUCAUGUUAUCCAUAUAUGAAUACAUAGUAUAUGAGAAGGCACACCCGGAGAACUGAAACAUCUAAGUACCCGGAGGAAGAGAAAGAAAACUCGAUUCCCUGAGUAGCGGCGAGCGAAACGGGAAGAGCCCAAACCAGGAUGCUUGCAUCCUGGGGUUGUAGGACACUCAACACGGAGUUACAAAGGAACGAUUUAGACGAAUGGCUUUGGAAAAGCCAACCAGAGAAGGUAAAGGUCCUGUAGUCGAAAAGUCGUCCCCUCCUGAGUGGA
rnacentral:rRNA from 1 species